AGAAUCAACGCUGGCGGCGUGCCUAACACAUGCAAGUCGCACGAGAAAGGGUAGCAAUACCUGAGUACAGUGGCGCACGGGUGAGUAACACGUGAAUAAUCUACCUCCGAGUGGGGAAUAACUGAGAGAAAUCUUAGCUAAUACCGCAUAAUACCCACGGGUCAAAGCAGCAAUGCGCUUGGAGAGGAGUUCGCGGCAGAUUAGUUAGUUGGCGGGGUAAUGGCCCACCAAGACGAUGAUCUGUAUCCGGCCUGAGAGGGCGCACGGACACACUGGAACUGAAACACGGUCCAGACUCCUACGGGAGGCAGCAGUGGGGAAUAUUGGACAAUGGGCGCAAGCCUGAUCCAGCAAUGCCGCGUGGGUGAAGAAGGUCUUCGGAUUGUAAAGCCCUUUCGGCGGGGACGAUGAUGACGGUACCCGCAGAAGAAGCCCCGGCUAACUUCGUGCCAGCAGCCGCGGUAA
rnacentral:rRNA from 1 species